AUACGCCAACGGUCUUGACAUUGUGGCACCUGCCGGCAUCUGGCACAAUUUCAGCUAAUCAGAUCAACGCUCUAUUCUAAAUCAAAAAAAUUAAAUAUUUAUUUCAAAACAGCUCAAUAUUUGGAUACGUUUUCUUAUAUCCAUGUGGAGGGUAUCAUAAGAAGGAGGAUAAGUCAACGAGCCCAUAAAGUGUAAAACUAAUCUCUAACGAAUCUUUGUUGAAAUGAGCCGGAGAGGACUACAUCAUAUAGCUGUCAAGUUAAUAUUUUCAUCAUGCUCCCUACAUGUUAGCUGCUUAUUAGGUCUAUAUAUAAUAGGUUAUAGAAAAAAAUUGGUAAAAAAUUAGUUCAAAGUUUCGUAUAUUUGCGAGCUAGUAUAUGAUUUAGCUCGUAUAAAAGCAUUGGGGAGUCACAAGACGGGACGGCAUGGAACGAACAGCUAGGCCGAGCGAAUCUAUUUGUAUUCAACGUUAAUUCUUGUAUUUUAUAUAAUAUUGUCAUUGAAUUUUUUUCGAGCUUACUGCAUUAAAAGAAUUCAAGUAUUUGAGCUUUGGGAAUUACAUAUUCAUAUGCUUAUGCAGGAGAGCCACAUACAUUGAUCGAGGGUUCUUUUUCGGCAUUUGAAUUUGUAUUCAUCCCAAGCUCAAGUACGCAUAUAACUUUUGA